rnacentral:rRNA from 1 species
GACGAACGCUGGCGGCGUGCCUAAUACAUGCAAGUAGAACGCUGAAGGAGGAGCUUGCUUCUCUGGAUGAGUUGCGAACGGGUGAGUAACGCGUAUGUAACCUGCCUGGUAGCGGGGGAUAACUAUUGGAAACGAUAGCUAAUACCGCAUAAGAGUAGAUGUUGCAUGACAUUUGCUUAAAAUUUGCAAUUGCAUCACUACCAGAUGGACCUGCGUUGUAUUAGCUAGUUGGUGAGGUAACGGCUCACCAAGGCGACGAUACAUAGCCGACCUGAGAGGGUGAUAGGCCACACUGGGACUGAGACACGGCCCAGACUCCUACGGGAGGCAGCAGUAGGGAAUCGUCGGCAAUGGACGGAAGUCUGACCGAGCAACGCCGCGUGAGUGAAGAAGGGUUUCGGAUCGGAAAGCUCUGUUGUAAGAGAAGAACGAGUGUGAGAGUGGAAAGUGCACACUGUGACGGUAUCUUACCAGAAAGGGACGGCUAACUACGUG